rnacentral:rRNA from 1 species
UACGUAGGGUGCAAGCGUUGUCCGGAAUUAUUGGGCGUAAAGAGCUCGUAGGCGGUUUGUCGCGUCUGCUGUGAAAACUCGGGGCUUAACUCCGGGCCUGCAGUGGGUACGGGCAGACUAGAGUGCGGUAGGGGAGACUGGAAUUCCUGGUGUAGCGGUGAAAUGCGCAGAUAUCAGGAGGAACACCGGUGGCGAAGGCGGCUCACUGGCCCGGUACUGACGCUGAGGUGCGAAAGCGUGGGGAGCAAACAGG